ACAGGGGGCGCGAGCGUUGCUCGGAAUCACUGGGCGUAAAGCGUACGCAGGCGGAUCGUUAAGUCGGGUGUGAAAGCCCGGGGCUCAACCCCGGAAUUGCAUUCGAUACUGGCGGUCUUGAGUGCGGGAGAGGUGAGUGGAAUUCCUGGUGUAGAGGUGAAAUUCGUAGAUAUCAGGAGGAACACCGGUGGUGUAGACGGCUUUCUGGACCGUAACUGACGCUGAAACACGAAAGCGUGGGUAGCAAACAGGA
rnacentral:rRNA from 1 species